GGGAAGACUAAGAAGAGAGGAAGAAGAAGAGAAACGGGGAAAACCGAGAUAAAAAGAAGAAUGCGAACCAAAGGAACAGAAAGAGAGGAAUAACGAGGAGACAAGAGAACAAGAUAAACGUGCUGCGGACUGCAAAUGUCGUGGGGAAGAUGGCAACUGUCAGUGUAAGGAUCCAUAUAGCUGUUAAAGUGCCUCCUCUCUCAAGAUCUUUCUCUCCUGAAGCCUGCUACUGAAGAUGCUCACUUCUGAUGCUGCUCUCAGCCAAGGAUUCCUGCAAUUUGGGCAACACAGAUCAACAGUCCUUGUCAUACAACAUUGUUUUCAUGAGUGUUGUGGUGCAGCCAAGAAGAACCAUCUACAUAGUACAUGUACUUGGCUCUUGCCUGGUUACUUUAUUAUUUGUCCAGUUAAUAUGGAAACAAAACGAAAUAUAGAAAUUUCAUGUAUUAUUUCGAAAGCAGUAAAUAUUGGAACUAGGGUAUUUCAAAGCCUCUUUGAAUAAUGAAUUAUGUAAUCUAGAUGUAUUGUUUCUUGAAUAAAGAGAAAACCGA